CUUUUCAUGUUUCAAGUACUUCUUUCGACGGACUGAGCAUGUAAAAUAUGUAAUGCCUCGAGAUAAAAAUGAUAAGUCUAGUUUUCGUGUGUUUAUUGACCUCGGCUUCGCCUCGGAUCAACAAUUCACACGAAAACUCUACUUUAGAUCUUUUUUCCCUUCUAGUCAGGUCAAA